AUUCCGGCUCCAAUAGCGUAUAUUAAAGUUGUUGCGGUUAAAAAGCUCGUAGUUGGAGUUCUGCCAGGUGGCGCUCGUCCGCCCAAGUGGUGUGUACAGGGCGUGCAUCUGGCCCUUUCAAGGGGAACGUGUCUGCACUUCAUUGUGUGGUGCGAGAUCCUUGACUUUUACUUUGAAAAAAUCAGAGUGUUUCAAGCAGGCAGUCGCUCUUGCAUGGAUUAGCAUGGGAUAAUGAAAUAGGGCUCUGGUGCUAUUUUGUUGGUUUCGAACACCGGAGUAAUGAUUAACAGGGACAGACAGGGGCACUCGUAUUCCGCCGAGAGAGGUGAAAUUCUCAGACCAGCGGAAGACGAACUACUGCGAAAGCAUUUGCCAAGGAUGUUUUCAUCG
rnacentral:rRNA from 1 species